rnacentral:lncRNA from 1 species
UCUGUCCUUGACCUUUCCAGUGUUGACAGUGAUGUCUUUGAAAUCCUCCUAUCCUUGGCUUCCAUAGCAAUACGCACUCCUAGAGUUUGUCACCCUCUUUCACCCCUCCACUUCAUUCUUCUUCACAAGGGCCAACCCUCACGUGUUGAGGUUCCUUGGGAUGCUGCCUGGCUGUUCUUCAUUGCGGACUUGAUGUUUUCCUCUAUCCUGUUGUGCACAUUCUUAUGGCUUCAAUACUUUGUCUAAGCUGUUGAUUUCAAAGUUGGCAUUUCAUCCCAGCUCUCUCCUGAGUUUCAGACUGCCUUUUCAAAAGCCUACUGGGCAUCUCUAUCCAGUGGUCACCCAGGCACAUCAACUCAUUCGAAACUGGUGACUCUCCAGGUAUUUCUAUCUCACCCACCCCAAGAUGCUCAAGCAGAACACCUGGCAUCUCCUUGGGUCAUCUUUUCCCCAUCUUUAUACCUAUUCUCCAUCUAAUCCCAUCUACCCAUUACAUGUUUUUUAAAUCCAUCCACCUCUCUUCAACCCCACUGCUCAUUCCUUACAUCAUUAACAUCUCUCUUGUAGACUCCUGACCUCCCUCCAAUUCUUGCUAUGGUCUGAGGAAUUUUUCUAAAGUGCAAAUCUGGCCAUGUCAGUCCCCUGUGUAAGGCUCUUUCAUGGUUUCUUGUUGCUUUUAGGAUAAGUUCAAGUCCUUAUCAAGGAUCUUAAGACCUACCUUGCCUGGCCUCAGGUUACCCUCCCCAACCUAACUCAUACGACUCCCAAACUCAUAUUCCAAGUUCUGACCAUACAGCACUGUUUUCAAAUCCUUGAACAAGCCAAGGUUGACUUGCCUCUGGAGCUUUUUCCUGCCAUUCUUCUUCCUGGAACACUUUCUCAGAAUCCUGUUUCUCCACUAAUUCCUAUUUGUCUUUCUGAUGCUACUCCACAGGUCCCCUCCUCCAGGAAGCCCUCCGUGUUCUCCCAGGCUAGAUGAGAGCCCCUCCUCUGUAUCCUAUAUUUCUUGGGCACACAAUAAUUCUGUACAUUUGAAGCUCGUUCUACUCUUUCUACUUUCUCUGUCCCAGCACUUAGUACAGGUGAUCGUAGCAGCCUCUUUAUGGGUCAGAGCCGCCUAUAGGACCAGAAGCUUCAUGAAGCCAGCACCCCAACUUCCAACACCAGCGUCUGCAAUGCACAACAGAGAUCCCAGGUGAGGAAGCUGAACUGACUUUGGUGACACAUAUUCCCCAAGAUCUGACAGCUGAUGAGUGACAGAGCACGUAUUCAAACCCAGAGAUAUGAAUUCGCUAUGCUGCCCAGGCUGGUCUUGAACUCCUGACUUCAAGUAAUCUUCCCACCUUCGCUUGCCAAAGUGCUGGGAUUACAGGCGUGAACUACUGCUCCCAGCCAAGAGCUCACUUUUGUUUGCUAGUGGUGUUCUUAGUAUCUUUUCAUAUUGGAGGCUUUGGUGGUAGUGCUGAAGUAUUACACUCACCAUCCAAGGUUUACAGGACUUUUGUUUUAAUAGGGAACAGAUGGAACUGUUUAGUUCUGCAUCUUUGCAGGUAUACAAAAUGUGCCCACCAGGACUCUGUUUUAUAUCCAUUGAAAGCAAGAAGUAAUACAGUAAAACUUUGCCUGGCUAGAGGCUUUGAAAGAAUGGACUAUUCUGAUUUAAUUCUAUUAACCUGGAAGUAUGAAGGUGAAAAAAAUUAAAAAAUUUCCUGUUGAAUGCAAUUUGAAAAUAUAGCCAAUGAUUCCACUUUUAUUCUCUAGUAAGUUUGGACAUUCUGAUAUAGUUGGUGUUUUAUUAUAGAACUUCUAGUGUGCCUGAAGAUCAUUUUCUAAAACUUUAGAUGUAAGAGGAUGUAAAUGGUAUUGUAUGAGAUCAGGCUGGAUGAGAACUGACACUUGUAAAUAUACUUUUUAGACU